rnacentral:lncRNA from 1 species
CAAGCAGCCUCCUCAAUACCAACCCAAUAUUCGACAUGCUCACUAUCCGGUCUUCAAUGCACAAGAGACAUAUCAUGCUCAACCUCCACCACAAAGCUAUCAAAAUAAUACUCCUCGUGCCAAUCAUGAAAGGAAGCCUCCCAAAAUUUUUAUGUCAUUGGUAGAAUCUCUUACCCAGUUUUUUGAAAGGUUGAAAGAAGCAAAACUACUUCAUCCAGUGGAAGCAACGCCU